UACGGAGGGUGCAAGCGUUAUCCGGAUUCACUGGGUUUAAAGGGUGCGUAGGCGGGUAGGUAAGUCAGAGGUGAAAUCUCCGGGCUUAACCCGGAAACUGCCUUUGAUACUAUCUGUCUUGAAUAUGGUGGAGGUAAGCGGAAUAUGUCAUGUAGCGGUGAAAUGCUUAGAGAUGACAUAGAACACCCAUUGCGAAGGCAGCUUACUACGCCUAUAUUGACGCUGAGGCACGAAAGCGUGGGGAUCAAACAGG
rnacentral:rRNA from 1 species